rnacentral:rRNA from 1 species
AGUGAACGCUGGCGGUAGGCCUAACACAUGCAAGUCGAACGGCAGCACAGUAAGAGCUUGCUCUUACGGGUGGCGAGUGGCGGACGGGUGAGGAAUACAUCGGAAUCUACUUUUUCGUGGGGGAUAACGUAGGUAAACUUACUCUAAUACCGCAUACGACCUACGGGUGAAAGCAGUGGAUCUUCGGACCUUGCGCGAUUGAAUGAGCCGAUGUCGGAUUAGCUAGUUGGCGGGGUAAAGGCCCACCAAGGCGACGAUCCGUAGCUGGUCUGAGAGGAUGAUCAGCCACACUGGAACUGAGACACGGUCCAGACUCCUACGGGAGGCAGCAGUGGGGAAUAUUGGACAAUGGGCGCAAGCCUGAUCCAGCCAUACCGCGUGGGUGAAGAAGGCCUUCGGGUUGUAAAGCCCUGUUGUUGGGAAAGAAAAGCAGCAGGUUAAUACCCAGCUGUUCUGACGGUACCCAAAGAAUAAGCACCGGCUAACUUCGUG